CAGAGCAGAGAGCACAGCCUGCGUUUCCCCUGGAGUGGAGAGCACAGCCUGCGUUUCCCCUGGAUGGUGUCGCUGGCUCAGAGCGGCCCUUCGAUAGCGGCCCCGUUCUGAAGCUGUCUCCACCCGCUGUUCCCGAUACCUGCCGAAGGCGGCAGGUGGGGCUUCUCUGCAUCACCAGAGAAAAAUAAUCUUGCGCGAUCAGAGAUGACACCUUGACAGGUGAGGUGAGACGUCUGUUUUUUUGUGGCGCAAAUGCAGCACACGCCUGGCUUUUGUAGAUACCGCCACUCCCCGUGCUGUGAUCUCAGCAUUUAUAAUUGUUCAGUCAGCAUUCUGGUACAAAAUGGCUUCCUCGCAUCACCCAGGUGGGUGAUGGACAUCAGUUGUUGUUGAGUUCGAGACCACCCCCCCCCCACUUUACUGUAAAGCACUUCUAGGUUGUGACAGGCACUGUACCAGUGCAAACCGAAUAUAAUAGCUUUUUUGUGUCUGGUGUAGCUUUGUAUUUGAUUUCCAUGGAAUGUGUGGCACAGGCUGCAGCACUGAAGGAAAUUAACUAAAAAUAAAAAUGUGAUUAAUUUAAAUCCUGCCGUCCUGCGAUCAGUGCGUGGUCAGUGGUGACAGUGACAGUCACCUGGUUAAGAAUCCCACAGUGCAUUGCAGCGAUGGUGCGAAUCCCACAGUGCAUUGCAGCGAUGGUGCAUAGUAGGAGUUUCCUAGCAACAGGCUGAGCUGAGAACACCGGCUCUUUCGGUAAGACCACGUGCCCGUCAGUGUUAAAAACCUGAGCGCCCAUGAGAUGGGACAGGAGGUGGCCACGUUUCGCGGGUGGACCUGGGGUGACUCCAGGGCAGGGAACAAAACACACACACACACACACACACACACACAGACACACACACGGUGUUUCCAUACCAGCAGUCCUGCACACAGUGUCACAAUGCGCAGGAGACUCACUGCUUGAAAAGUAGGGCAAAGUUCAGGCCUGAUGCAAACUUGAGUAAGACCACCCCACAUCCAGCCACCCCAUCACACAUGUUCAGGGGAACUUACACCCAGCCGGGAAUGAAUCCUUUUAAAGACAAUCCUGGUUCUCUUCCAAAAAAAUUUUUCAAAUGCACUAACUGGCUGUUCAUAACACUUGCGCAAAAAAUGCAGCUGAAAGUUCAUUUUGCACACCAAUGUGAGGUAACUCAGCUAGCGUUCCCCAGACUUCCAUAUAAACCCCUCCCAUCCCAACACGUAGAGAGACAAAAACGACUGAAAUAAUGUGCAAUAAUUUAUUCAGAAUUCUGACCAUGAACAUUCCAGACAGUUGAUAAAUAAACAAUAUAUUACUCUCAGUUUUACCAGAGUAAAACAAUGAAGGAUAAUUUAAAAAACACAUAUAGCAUGUGCAUGAUCCCUGUUUCACAUUAAACUUGUGACAGGCGUGCAUACAUUAUCACAUUGUGGGGAAAACAACACAUGCCUGUUUUUAAUCAAAAACAUCAGCUGGUAUUGCAAGUAAAAUUAAAUGACAGUGUGCAACAGUCAUUUUCUUUGUCCAUUAUUUGACAUCAUCAUGUCUAUCUGUGCAGCCGCCCAUACCCUCACGUCGCCGCCAACUCCAGUCCGUGACAAUAACGAAAUCGCCGCGGUCCACCCACUGUGUUCUCAACGCUGCCCGCGCGCGCCCUCGCGCUGGGCGCGCAGCUGUCACGCUCAAACAGCUCGCGCGUCAGUCCAGUUAACUGUCACUUGGCACAAAUGCGCUCUUCCGGAUUCACGGGAAAGUAGGACAGAUACGCUGUCCCUUCGGACUGUUUCGCCAUCCCCUCCCUUAUCCCAGCUCCAUCCAAGUGGGAUAUUCUACAGGACCCGUCGUCGUAUCUUUCCGUACGCGGCGCUGGGCGUCUUUCUUAACUCAGUUAAGAACGACCAUUUAAAAUUCCGGCGCUUUCGCUGGUCUGGUUCCACUUCGUCUGGUAGUGUCUGUUCAGCGCUCAUGCAGGGCGAGCGACGGUAUCCACUCGUUCUUGCAGCGACUCUCCUUGCAGAAUCUCCCAACCUCCUUUAGCGCCGGGCACUUCAGAUCGUCAACAUGAGGAUUCUAAAAGGGAAGGGGGAAACGGGUUAGACACGCGUUCUGAAAUAAUCUUUCCGCAAUCUUAAGUCACAGUUUGACGCCAUGUGGUCCAUCGUACC